AAUCUUCUUCCUGAGCAUGGAACCCAUGCACACUGCUCAUGACCACCAUCCCCCAUGCAUGCUGGUCAUACUCACCAUCUCCCAUUUUACCGUGCCACCUCCUUUCUCUCCCACUGCAAUGCAAACCCAUUAAUGACUUUCCCCUCCAAAACCACCAUCUUCAAUUUCUUCCGUAAAUACCCCAUAGUUUCUUGAGUAUUCCAGCCCAAAACCCCUCUUCAUUCUUCUCGUGUGCCCGAUGCCUCGGCCCGUGACCUUCCGCAAUGGGGAACAUGCCGUCAGCGCCUAGCUGGGCUUCUCCAAGAAGCGGCGGAGCGAAGCUCCAGACGUCGGUUGGUGCCUGAGAACGCUGCAAAUGGAGCAGUUCGAGUCCGAGUGGGAUCACAUCGGCGACGUCGUCUUUGGUGGCAGCGGCGUUGGCAGCGGCGGAGAUGCAAUGUCGUCCCUUGCAUGCAUUAUGAGAAUGGACCGCGACCC
rnacentral:lncRNA from 1 species